GUGGACCCAGGUGCUAGUCCAGACUCCUCCCCCUCAAAUAGACGCAGCAAGGGGACCUGACUUCAGGGAGCCUCCAGCUGGUACUGGAGCCCUCUGCCAAGGGUGAAGGGGUAAAGUCAGGGAAGAGAGUCGACAGGACUCCUGCUCGAGCAAAGCAGAGAGGAGCAGAGACCACAGCCUGGCAGAGGGACUCCCCAGAUCUCUGGUGAGUGUUCCCCCAGCCUGGCGUAGGGCAUGCCCCAGUUCACUUUCGCCUGCUUCUGUGGUCUCCACGGCUUCUGCAAAAUGAAGAGGAAGAAGGAGGAAGUUCACAGAGAGCGGGAGACGGCGGUGUGAUCAGAACCAGGGCCCCUCCAUCAAGCCCCCAGCAGGUCCCAGGCCUGAUGGUGCCUGCUUCUGGCUGGGGCUUGGAGCAGGAAGCCGUGUGUGUAUCUUAAGUCUUGAUUUAGCCAGUGCUCUUCUCAGCCUGACUCUCACCCGAGGGCAUCAGCCUCCUGUGUGCCUCUCAUCCUCCUCAUGCCCACACCCAUUAGCUUCCAAUUCUCAGACCUCCUUGGAGAGAGGCCCCAGCCACACAAGGGGGAACCCCAGGACCUGCCGCAUGCCUUCCAGAGACUGAGAAGCCCCAGGGAGGCCAAGGAGUGAAACUUCUUUCCUGCCCUGAGAGCUUCGGGGGACUCUUCUCAGGGUAACCGCAUGAGGCAUGUGCCGCCUUGGGCUAGGAGAGCUGUUGCUAAAUGGGAAACUGGCUGCUCUAGCAGAGAACUUCCAGCAGCCCUGACCCUGGAGAAGGCCUCCAGGGCGGAAGUGUGAGACUCUCCUGGGAUUCCAGGACCUGGGGCAAGAAUCCUUUUCCAGCCCCCUGCCAGCAUCCUCCUGGGCCAGGUGGGGCCAGGCCUGAGGUGGCCAGCCCAGUGAGGAGGAAGGCAGAGGUGGCCAGUGGCUCCGUGGCUCCCUCUGUUCUUGCUCUCCAGAAAGCAGUGUUUCCUCCAGCCCCGGCCCUGACCCACCCGUGUUCAUGAUGCCUGUGCCUCCUUGCCAGCAUCACAGAUGUGGGGAGGCCUGUUCCCCAGGCCCUGACUCCCCUCCUCAGGGACUGUCUUGCCGUGGCCAGACUGAGGGACCCCUUUCCUGGACUGAGCCGUGCCCUCCCUUGAUUCUCCUGUCUCCCCUGCCUUUUUCUUCUCUCCUCAGAAGCCAUAGAGGGGACUGCGUUCAUAUGUGGUGCCUUCAGUGGAAACUCUUAGGGUGGGGGGACCUCUAGGACCUUCCUCGACUUUUUCCCUCAUCCCCCACCCCCGCCAACCUUCCAGCUUCAGCCUCUGCCCUUACCCCCAGCCCAUUUCCAGGAGGUAGGAAGCAAAAGAAAAAAGCAUUUCCUUCCCUCUUUCCUUCUUCCUUCCUUCCUCUCUCCCUUCAUUUUGGUAUAACUUAGCCUUUUGUCUUUAAUCCUGGAGUUCUCCGGGGCUAGAAGACAGGCAGAGACGAAUGCCAGCAGCAGAGAUGCUUCAGGCAGAUUCUGUAAGCCUGUUCUCCCUCAUCAGGGAGCAGCUCAGCCAAGGAGCAAAGUCAGACCCCCUCUAGCUCCCCAGGGACAGAAUAGCCCUUCUGACAGGUAAACAGGUGACCUGGGUAGAGAGGGCAAGGCCCCAAGAUAGGAGAGUCAGGGCUCCCCUUUCCUUGGAAUGUGGGCCUCUCUGGGCAACUAGGGAGGGCAAAAGUCUUCCUCGGCUGGUUCGCCCAAAACCUGGGAGAAGCAAGGGCACAUUCUAUGCUGGCAGCCUCUGCCUGCCCAGCUCAUGCCCACACUCAGGGGCCUUUCCUGGGCUUUGGGCAGAUUGGGUGGGAUUCAGGUUGUCUUUAUGAGGCUUGAGCACAGCUUGAGUUCCUCCUCCCAUCCUCCAACCCCUUCCUUUGCCCCUACCUCCUAGCCCCCACCUUCUACAAUCUGUUAUUUCCUUUUAUAUCCAAAGAAUUAUAAACAGAAGUCCUUCCCUCAAGGGAACAGCAAGAUUCAGCAAUAAAGGCCAGUGGGGUCACAAAGGACAGAAGAAAAACUCCCUGGUUCUUUGUCCUCUUGGAUAGUAGAGGCCUUGGGUGAGGCAAAGAGAUGGGCAGAAAAAGUUACCUUGAUACAGAGGCCAGAGAGCCUCCUGGAGGGCAUGUGUUUCCCUAGCGGUCACCUGCGAGGCUGCAAUCCUAGAAAAGUCACUUCUGUGGCAGAGGAUGAAAUUGUAUCCCCGGAGACUCAGAGAUAUUGGGUGUUAUGUCCUGACCACACAGGCUCACCAGGAGGAAAGGUUAGGAAAGUGGAGAAAGUACGUCCUGGGGAGCGGGUGGCCGAGGAGAGCUUUCCCCUUGUGCGCCUCUCAGGCCUUGGCAGGGAUUGCAGCUGCAGGGGUUUGGCAGUGAGCCCAUCCAGAGAGCUUCCUCCCCCGGGAGAACUCCCUUGGCUCCAGAGGGAUACUAGAUAUCUUGAGCCCUGGCUUUGGGAACAUGGGUGGGGUCCCAAGGUCAAAGUGUUCUGAGUGGAGGUCCAGUUGUCCUCUGCCUCCAAGCCGGCAGCCCCUUCUUCACCCAGGGCUGAGGUUGGGGCCAGCACUGCAGCUGGAAUUGUCUGAGCAGGAGGUAGCAGCUUCUAGCCAGGCACACCCCAACCCCACAUUCUAUUGUCCCUCAGUUUCCUUCUCAGGAAAAUGGGGACUUUGCUCCUUUUAGCAUCUCAGGAAGCAGUCUGGACACCUGUGCCCUCCUCUAGGCCCUUGGAUGAGCCCAGGGAAUAGGGAAAGGCCAAAGCAGCCCCAGCAUUCGCAGACCCUGCGCCCUGGGCCUCUGACUUCGGGCCAGGCUUCUGCUCCUUCUAGGGUUGGCCUGGCUGCCCUGCCUUCCCAUCCUCUCUCCAUGGUUCUCUCCCAGAGACUCCACCUUGAGGUGGGGGCCCUGAGCUCUUGGGGUGAGGGAGGGGCACAUGGGUAGAUGAUUCUGUGGAGGAGAUCAGGCCUCUUGUUCUUGCUGCGUGGCACUGAUUCCUCCUUGCAGAUGGGUGAGGGGGCCAGUUUUCCCCAUCUGUAAAGCGAGGACUUCCCAUGGCCAUUUUCCCUCUUGGGCUUCAGGCUGCUGAAUGGAAGAUCAAGAAGUGUGAAGGGUGCUUGGGGUCCUUGUGACUUGAGUGUUGCCUAGGACCCUGGCCCACAGGACCCAAGGGGCUUCUUGUCUCAGGUUGAAACCUUUUUAUCAGAAUGUCAUUUCCUUC
rnacentral:lncRNA from 1 species